GUUACUCAAGUCAUGCAGAGAAGCAGAAAACUUGCUUACUAUGCUAAUAAUCUGAAAGUCAGAUCUCUCCUAGAUCCCAUUUAAGUGCUGACUGCCACUGAGUAAGGAUGUUUUUCUGGAGAUUGCUCCUUGUGGAGUUUACUAUGAGCCUACAACACUGGUACUGCAGCAUCCAAAGCACCGAUGGGUUCUUGCUGUUUGUGUUGCAGCUGCCCUGCAGUAAUGACCUAUGAUGUGUGCCCCACAGAGCAACAGAAGAUGAUGCAGAUGUACUGCUGGUUUUAACUUCCAUCCCAUUUAAAUGGCCAUUUAAUUUGUGUGUAUAUUGCUUGCUUAUUUUUUAACAAGACAAAAUAAACAUCUAGGACUCAAA